rnacentral:rRNA from 1 species
UACGAAGGGGGCUAGCGUUGUUCGGAAUUACUGGGCGUAAAGCGCACGUAGGCGGACUAUUAAGUCAGGGGUGAAAUCCCGGGGCUCAACCUCAGAACUGCCUUCGAUACUGGCAAUCUCGAGUCCGGAAGAGGUUGGUGGAACAGCUAGUGUAGAGGUGAAAUUCGUAGAUAUUAGCUAGAACACCAGUGGCGAAGGCGGCCAACUGGUCCGGUACUGACGCUGAGGUGCGAAAGCGUGGGGAGCAAACAGGG